rnacentral:rRNA from 1 species
UACGUAGGGUGCGAGCGUUAAUCGGAAUUACUGGGCGUAAAGCGUGCGCAGGCGGUUUGUUAAGACAGAUGUGAAAUCCCCCGGGCUUAACCUGGGAACUGCAUUUGUGACUGGCAAGCUAGAGUAUGGCAGAGGGGGGGUAGAAUUCCACGUGUAGCAGUGAAAUGCGUAGAGAUGUGGAGGAAUACCGAUGGCGAAGGCAGCCCCCUGGGCCCAAUACUGA